UGUGGGGAGUUCUUACUCUUCCAGUCAGGGUUAGGUUGGGCCACCUGUAGUGGGCUGCUGAGAAACAAGUUGAAUCAGAACUAGCCCUGUCCUUGAGGAACAAACAUGGGACUCUGCCACCAGUGACAUGCACAGGGUAUGAAUGGUGUCUUUGGAGUAUGGAAAACAUAAGUCCAGUUUACUCAGGAAUGAACAGAGAUGUGUAACACGAGCAGGGGAGGAGCAGAGAAAGAGGGAGACAGAUGAUCCGAAGCGGGAUCCACGCAGACAGCAGUGAGCUGAUUAGAACUCACGAACCAUGAAAUCGGUCAUUCAACCAACUGAGUCACCCAGGCACCCCGACAUAUCUUCUGACUGACUCAUCUGUCCCCUUGCUAGCCUGGUGAUUGCUAGCACAAGUAAUCUUUGCAGCCCUAACACCUCUCAUAGUGGAUACCCAACAGUUUUCAAUAAAUGAAUGAACACAUUAA